GACGAACCGUGCGAACGUUAUUCGGAAUCACUGGCUUAAAGCGCGUGUAGGCGGGCGGGAACGUCGGCCACUGAAAGCCCCCGGCUCAACCGGGGAAGUGGUGCCGAAACGGCCCGCCUGGAGGGACGUAGGGGGACCUGGAACUUCCGGUGGAGCGGUGAAAUGCGUUGAGAUCGGAAGGAACGCCCGUGGCGAAAGCGAGGUCCUGGACGUCAUCUGACGCUGAGACGCGAAAGCUAGGGGAGCGAACGGGA
rnacentral:rRNA from 1 species